rnacentral:misc_RNA from 1 species
GGUGCAUAUGUCAGUUGCCCAGCAACAUUACCUCAACAAUGAUGAUUACUUUGCAUGUUAUACAUUUAAUGUAAUUGAGUGAUGUGACAGGUAAAAGUCCUCCUGAGAGAGAAUAGUUUAGAAGCGCUAGUUGAUCCUGAUCUCCAAGGCAAUUACAUAGAACCUGAGAUGAAGCAGUUAAUCCAGAUCGCAUUGCUUUGCACACGAGGAUCACACUUGUACAGGAGUAAGAUGUCAGAAGUGAUGAGAAUGCUUGGAGGUUAUGGCUUAUCAGAGAGGUGGGAUGAAUGGCAGGAAAUGGAGAGUUCUGACCAGGAGUUGGGACAGGGCUUUCAACCUUUUCACUUUACUGGUGAUUCAACAGAGAAUCUACCUCCAAUUGAGUUAUCUGGUCCA